rnacentral:rRNA from 1 species
AACGAACGCUGGCGGCAUGCCUAACACAUGCAAGUCGAACGAACCCUUCGGGGUUAGUGGCGCACGGGUGCGUAACACGUGGGAAUCUGCCCUUUGCUUCGGAAUAACAGUUAGAAAUGACUGCUAAUACCGGAUGAUGUCUUCGGACCAAAGAUUUAUCGGCAAAGGAUGAGCCCGCGUAGGAUUAGGUAGUUGGUGGGGUAAAGGCCUACCAAGCCGACGAUCCUUAGCUGGUCUGCGAGGAUGAUCAGCCACACUGGGACUGAGACACGGCCCAGACUCCUACGGGAGGCAGCAGUGGGGAAUAUUGGACAAUGGGCGCAAGCCUGAUCCAGCAAUGCCGCGUGAGUGAUGAAGGCCUUCGGGUCGUAAAGCUCUUUUACCAGGGAUGAUAAUGACAGUACCUGGAGAAUAAGCUCCGGCUAACUCCGUGCCAGCCGCCGCCGUAACA